AAAAAUUUUUCAUUCAUGUGCAGACUGGGGCGGGGAACCCACUUUGGGAACCAUUCCCUUGGGGUGAAGCCACGUAGAUUUCUCACAAGGAAGCUACUGGCCGGGCACUGUGAUCCUCCGCCCGAACCCGACAGCUAACCUCGCAGGCGUUUAAUAUGAGAGGAACA
rnacentral:sRNA from 2 species